UCUAUGAUGAAAUCAAUUCCAUGAAUUUUAUUGAUUUAUAUAUUUGUCCUCUAAGAAGAACUGAGAAG